rnacentral:rRNA from 1 species
AGGGUGCAGGGCGGAUGCCUUGGCACUAGGAGCCGAUGAAGGACGUGAUAAGCUGCGAUAAGCUUCGGGGAGUUGCACGUAAACUUUGAUCCGAAGAUUUCCGAAUGAGGAAACUCACUUAGAGUAAUGUCUAAGUAUCAUUAAGUGAAUACAUAGCUUAAUGAGGGGAACUCAGGGAACUGAAACAUCUAAGUACCUGAAGGAAGAGAAAGAAAUUCGAUUCCGUAAGUAGCGGCGAGCGAACGCGGAUUAGCCCAAACCAAUAAAGUUUUCUUUAUUGGGGUUGCGGACAUAUCAUAACGAAGAGGUAUCGUAAUUGAAGAGGUUUGGAAAGACCCACCACAGAAGGUAAUAGUCCUGUAUGUUAAACGAGAAGACUUUAGAUAUGAUCCAGAGUACCACGGGACACGUGAAACCCUGUGGGAAGCAGGAGGGACCACCCUCCAAGGCUAAAUACUACCUAGUGACCGAUAGCGUAUAGUACCGUGAGGGAAAGGUGAAAAGAACCCCGGGAGGGGAGUGAAAUAGAACCUGAAACCCUGCACUUACAAGCUGUGGAAGCACAUUUCUUGUGUGACCGCGUACUUUUUGUAGAACGGGCCAACGAGUUACGUUAAGUAGCAAGGUUAAGCACUUAAGGUGUGGAGCCGUAGCGAAAGCGAGUUUUAACUGAGCGUUCAGUUACUUGACGUAGACCCGAAACCGGGCGACCUACCCAUGAGCAGGAUGAAGCGAAAGUAAAAUUUCGUGGAGGUCCGAACCCACGAGCGUUGAAAAGCUCGGGGAUGACUUGUGGGUAGCGGUGAAAUUCCAAUCGAGCCCGGAGAUAGCUGGUUCUCCCCGAAAUAGCUUUAGGGCUAGCCUCAAGGUGAGAGAUACGGAGGUAGAGCACUGAAUGUCCUAGGGGGUAUUGCACCUACCGAAGACUAUCAAACUCCGAAUGCCGUCAUCUUAUACUUGGGAGUCAGACUGUGGGUGAUAAGAUUCAUAGUCGAAAGGGCAACAGCCCAGAUCGUCAGCUAAGGUCCCUAAAUGUAAGUUAAGUGGUAAAGGAUGUGGGAUUGCACAGACAACCAGGAUGUUGGCUUAGAAGCAGCCACUCAUUCAAAGAGUGCGUAAUAGCUCACUGGUCGAGUGAUCCUGCGCCGAAGAUUUCCGGGGCUAAAACUUACUACCGAAGCUACGGCAUCAGUAAUGAUGGGUAGGGGAGCUUCCCAUACAGGUUGAAGCAUGACCGUAAGGACAUGUGGACAGUAUGGGAGUGAGAAUGUUGGCAUGAGUAGCGAGAUGUGGGUGAGAAUCCCACAGGCCGUAAACCCAAGGUUUCCAGGGGAAGGUUCGUCCGCCCUGGGUUAGUCGGGACCUAAGCUGAGGCCGAAAGGCGUAGGUGAUGGACAACAGGUUGAUAUUCCUGUACUACCGAUAACCGUUUGAGAGAAGGGAUGACACAGUAGGAUAAGCUAAGCACACUGUUGGUUAUGUGUGCCCAAGCAUUGAGGCAGUCAAAGUAGGCAAAUCCGCUUUGAUAAUGCUGGGAUGUGAUGGGGAGCGAAAUUUAGUAGCGAAGUAGCUGAUUUCACACUGUCAAGAAAAGUCUCUAUCGAGGUUAAAGGUACCCGUACCGCAAACCGACACAGGUGGGUGAGGAGAGUAUCCUAAGGCCAGCGAGAGAACUGUUGUUAAGGAACUCGGCAAAAUGACCCCGUAACUUAGGGAUAAGGGGUGCCACCAUCAGGUGGCCGCAGAGAAUAGGCCCAAGCGACUGUUUACCAAAAACAUAGGUUUCUGCUAAGUCGCAAGACGAUGUAUAGGAGCUGACGCCUGCCCGGUGCUGGAAGGUUAAGGGGAUCUGUUAGAGCAAUCGAAGCAGUGAACUUAAGCCCCAGUAAACGGCGGCCGUAACUAUAACGGUCCUAAGGUAGCGAAAUUCCUUGUCGGGUAAGUUCCGACCCGCACGAAAGGCGUAACGAUUUGGGCACUGUCUCAACAACAGACUCGGUGAAAUUGUAAUUCCGGUGAAGAUGCCGGAUACCUGCGACAGGACGGAAAGACCCCAUGGAGCUUUACUGUAGCUUGACAUUGGGUCUUGGUACUACAUGUACAGGAUAGGUGGGAGGCUUUGAAACCAGGACGCCAGUUUUGGCGGAGCCAUCCUUGGGAUACCACCCUUGUAGUACUGGGACUCUAACCAUAGGCCAUGAAUCUGGUCUUGGGACACUGUCAGGUGGGCAGUUUGACUGGGGCGGUCGCCUCCCAAAAGGUAACGGAGGCGCUCAAAGGUUCUCUCAGUACGGUCGGAAAUCGUACGUAGAGUGUAAAGGCAAAAGAGAGCUUGAUUGCAAGACAUACAGGUCGAGCAAGGAUGAAAAUCGGACUUAGUGAUCCGGUGGUUCUGCGUGGAAGGGCCAUCGCUCAACGGAUAAAAGCUACCCUGGGGAUAACAGGCUUAUCUCCCCCAAGAGUCCACAUCGACGGGGAGGUUUGGCACCUCGAUGUCGGCUCAUCACAUCCUGGGGCUGUAGUAGGUCCCAAGGGUUGGGCUGUUCGCCCAUUAAAGUGGUACGCGAGCUGGGUUCAGAACGUCGUGAGACAGUUCGGUCCCUAUCCGUCGCAGGCGUAGGAAAUUUGAGAAGACCUGUCCUUAGUACGAGAGGACCGGGAUGGACGUACCUCUGGUGUACCAGUUGUCCUGCCAAGGGCAUGGCUGGGUAGCUAUGUACGGAAUGGAUAAGCGCUGAAAGCAUCUAAGCGCGAAGCCAACUUCAAGAUAAGAUUUCCCACCGCAAGGGUAAGACCCCAGAAAGACUAUCUGGUUGA